rnacentral:lncRNA from 1 species
AUAAAGCUCAUUUAAAUCAUCAAAUCAAGAUCAAUAGAUUUUCAAAAAUGAAUUGUUAGGAUGGUUUCCUACCUUACUACUGCUGCAAUUUAGUUAUCCCUAUCCAAAAAUCCAAAAAAAAAAAAAUUGUUCCUAUAUUGCUGCAUAAACUUUUCGUCAAAAAGUUUUCAUCUUUACAACAAAAGAUACAUUGCAGAAUUUCAG